rnacentral:lncRNA from 1 species
CCCCCGCCGCCGACCGCACCCGCCCGAACCCGACCACCUCACCCGCCGUGUGCCGAUCCCGCCCCGCGGUCCCCCCCGGGGCAUGAACCGCCGCCCGGGGGGCCGAAACCGGCAAAACGUGCCAAACGGCCCCGAUCUUACCCAUUUUUCCGCGAUCAAACCGCCGCACGGCUACCCCCCCAUCUCGAUGCCCCCGGACCGCUGGUCCCGUGGGACCAAACGGAAACGGAAUCGGAGGCCCGGAUCAUGAGUUACGGCCGAAACCGGCAAAGCCUACUAAGCGGCCCCCGAUCUUGCCCAUUUUUCGCCGUUCAAACUGCCGCGUGGCUACCCCCCCAUCCCGAUGCCCCCGGACCGCUGGUCCCGUGGGACGAAACGGAAACGGAAUCGGGGGCCCCGAUCAUGAGUUACGACCCCUUCUUUGCGGCCCCCGAGGCCGUGCGCUAUAGCCCCCCGGGCGCCCCCGCCGCCGACCGCACCCGCCCGAACCCGACUACCUCACCCGCCGUGUGCCGAUCCCGCCCCGCGGUCCCCCCCGGGGCAUGAACCGCCCCCCGGGGGGCCGAAACCGGCAAAACGUGCCA